rnacentral:tRNA from 1 species
ACUAUUAUAGUUUAAUAAAUAAAACAUUAAUUUUGUAAAUUAAAAAAAUCUUUCUUUAUAAAUUAGUAGUA